rnacentral:rRNA from 1 species
ACACGUGAGGAACUUGCCCAUGAGCGGGGGACAACAUUCGGAAACGGAUGCUAAUACCCCAUAGGUGGAUUGGUCGCAUGACGAAUUCAUUAAAGGUGGCUUCGCUACCACUCAUGGAUAGCCUCGCGGCGUAUUAGCUAGUUGGUAAGGUAAUGGCUUACCAAGGCAGUGAUACGUAGCCGACUUGAGAGGGUGAUCGGCCACACUGGGACUGAGACACGGCCCAGGCUCCUACGGGAGGCAGCAGUAGGGAAUCUUCCACAAUGGGUGCAAACCUGAUGGAGCAAUGCCGCGUGAGUGAAGAGGGUCUUCGGAUCGUAAAGCUCUGUUGUUAGAGAAGAACACGUGCUAGGUAACUACUAGCGCCUUGACGGUAUCUAACCAGAAAGUCACGGCUAACUACGUGCCAGCAGCCGCGGUAAUACGUAGGUGACAAGCGUUGUCCGGAUCUAUUGGGCGUAAAGGGAGCGCAGGCGGUCUGUUUAGUCUAAUGUGAAAGCCCACGGCUUAACCGUGGAACGGCAUUGGAAACUGACAGACUUGAAUGUAGAAGAGGAAAAUGGAAUUCCAAGUGUAGCGGUGGAAUGCGUAGAUAUUUGGAGGAACACCAGUGGCGAAGGCGAUUUUCUGGUCUAACAUUGACGCUGAGGCUCGAAAGCGUGGGGAGCGAACAGGAUUAGAUACCCUGGUAGUCCACGCCGUANACGAUGAGUGCUAAGUGUUGGGGGCUUUCCGGCCCUCGGUGCUGGAGCUAACGUAUUAAGCACUCCG